ACGCGGGUGUGUCUCGAACGGCACGGCGUCAAUAAUAUCGGUCGAUAUCGUAAUAAUUCAUUGUGCGAAUUGCGCAUAACGUACGAGGUCCGGCUAUUAAACAACGAGACUGCUUAUGAAAAAUUGUUUUAUUUUAAAAAUUAUUCCACAACCACCGAAUGUUCCCCUUCAAUAUACUCUUACAAUCCCCUCUUCGCACACCGUUUCAUUCGUUUCUUCCAUCGCUCGAGGCAGUGCUGGAAGUCCGUUUUCGCAAGACCAUUCAGGAGUUCCGCCGAUUUUUGUUUCAACUCUUCCGUCGACUCAAACCGGAUUCCUUUUAAGGCGGACUUUAUCGUCGGAAACGAGUAAAAGUCGCAGGGUGCCGAGUCGGGUGAGUAAGACGCGUGUUCUGGAGUGCCUUAAGCGGCCAAAUAACGCUUCGCGCUUUAUCCUGGUGCAAGAUCCGCGACUUGUUUUUCCACAAUAUCGACCGUUUCUUACGAACUCAUUCGCGCGAUGUUGCCAAAACUGUCAAAUAGUAAUGUUGGUUCACAGUUUGACCCUCUGGAACCCAUUCAGUCAUCACGAUGCCGUUGAUAUCGAAGAAAACGAUCAGCAUGAUUUUGAAUUUGGAUUACGACUGAAUUGGAUUCCGGUGCACACUCGACCUUCAGAAAAUAAUUUAUGCCACUCGAAAACACGCGCCCGAGAUAGGAAAUCCUCACUAUAGGCCUCUUUUAACAACUUAUAGCACUCAGUUGGAGUUUUUUUUUUUUUUUAGUUUAACGAGAAAACUGUACGUUUAUCCGUUGCUCGUGUUUUUCGUCACGCAUCGUUUUCGGCAAGAGAAAAAAACAUGUUCGUUUCUAAACGCUACAGAAAAAAUACUAAUGCACCGGCAAAAACCCGAUUCCGUACUGGCAUAAUAGACACUUCCAGCCAACCGGCGCUGUAUUCGGUUUUCCCCUAACCUUUUCGGGACGCUAUCUGCGCGCGCAGUCUCGUUAUUUAAUAGCCAAACCUCGUAUAUACAAUAUACCCGGGCUCGGCUCGACUGCGAAACCGUACCGAGAAUACGCUUUCCCUAGCUUCCCGCACGGGGAGUAUGCGAUACGCGAGUAUAUAUUUUUUUAC